CCAAUAGCCUCCUCUCCUCAUUUCCUCGUGAUGCCUUAUGGCCCAUCAUGGGAUGUGUGCCUGCUUCAGGGUCUGCCUGUGUGUCAUCUGGGGUGAGCAGAGAUUCACACUGGUGUGUGCCCUCCUCUGAGGUUCUCUCUGUUAAACAAAUCCCAAACACCCUCCAUUCUGAAGGGUCUACCAUCUAGAGAUAAGGCCAUGCGACUUCUUAAUAGAUGGGAAAGUUUGCAAAGAGCCUUUCUGUACUUCGGUUUUAACUUUUUUAUAGGUAAGGAAGCUAGAAAUGAGAAAAGUUGAGGUCUCCUACAUUUUGGCAGGGGUGGAGUUACAGUUCCCUGUUCAUGAAAAGGGUCCACUGGGGGCUACACAUUUGCAAACACCCAGGUAAAAAUUAGCUACCAGUCAUUUGGAUGUCUCACCCACAACAGGGUGUCUGAAUAUUUGGGAGUGAAUAUUGGGAACCCUCAAGUGCUUGUGGAGAUAGCCUGUGACAGUUUCCUGGAAAAUAUCUCCAGGCCAGAGCCUCUGCCCUGGGAAGAAUCUAUGAUGCUGCAGGAUAUGACGAUGGGGACUCUGGGCUCCUUGUGUCCACAGAAGUUGUUUAAAAAAUAGAAGAGCUAAGAUGAAUAAAUAGCACUUCUCCAGGAUGGUAGGGCCACCGGAAAACAGGCUUAUUUUAAGAACUGAACGUCCUCUGUUUGACGAUGUGCAGAGCCAUGUUUAGAACACAAUGUGCUUGCUGCAGGGAGAAGUCCAUUACACUAAGCCUGAUCUUGUGAUAUCAGGAUUAUUAUGCUGUCCCAAAGCCUGCACCAGCGCCUGGUCCUCCCAGCCUGUGCGUGCAGAACCCUGGCCAGCAGGUGCCCCACAGCCUCCCAGGAAGGAUGGGGCAGCUCACUGGAGGAUGAAGCCUGUCUGGUGUGGAGGCAGCCCCGGCGGGGGUCUCUGGGGAAGAGCCGUCUCUCUUUAUAGCCUCUGACUAUCCUGGCUCCGUGGCAACAGAGAAGUCUGCGGAUGCCGAUCAGAAACCCAGCCAAGUCUCUGCUGAUGGCCCCUUCUCUCGCCGUUGGGGAGCCCAUGGAGACACAGCCUGGGUCGGGACUUGGGGCAUAUUUAUUUCCCCUCUAAAAGUGUUUAUACAUAUUUUAUGAGAUACUAUGUAUCUAAUAAAGAUUCCAGCAUCUUUAAGAAUACAA